UCCAUACUUUGGCUGAAGGACUCUAAGCAGCUAUCUUCGACACUUUCAACAUUAACAAACAAAGAGUCUCGGGUGGUAAAUUUCAAAGAUUGGCAAGUUGCUCAAGGAAGACGAUUUAGAUCUUUAAAGCUGUGGUUUAUGAUGCGCUUGUAUGGAGCCUCGGGACUUCGUAGCCACAUAAGAACUCACAUAAACCAUGCUAAGCAU